CCUGGCAGUCAGAGGCGAUGAAGGACGUGCUAAUCUGCGAUAAGCGUCGGUAAGGUGAUAUGAACCGUUAUAACCGGCGAUUUCCGAAUGGGGAAACCCAGUGUGAUUCGUCACACUAUCAUUAACUGAAUCCAUAGGUUAAUGAGGCGAACCGGGGGAACUGAAACAUCUAAGUACCCCGAGGAAAAGAAAUCAACCGAGAUUCCCCCAGUAGCGGCGAGCGAACGGGGAGCAGCCCAGAGCCUGAAUCAGUGUGUGUGUUAGUGGAAGCGUCUGGAAAGGCGCGCGAUACAGGGUGACAGC
rnacentral:rRNA from 1 species